ACGGCAGCAUGAUCUAGCUUGCUAGAUUGAUGGCGAGUGGCGAACGGGUGAGUAAUACAUCGGAACGUGCCCUGUAGUGGGGGAUAACUAGUCGAAAGAUUAGCUAAUACCGCAUACGACCUGAGGGUGAAAGUGGGGGACCGCAAGGCCUCAUGCUAUAGGAGCGGCCGAUGUCUGAUUAGCUAGUUGGUGGGGUAAAGGCCCACCAAGGCGACGAUCAGUAGCUGGUCUGAGAGGACGAUCAGCCACACUGGGACUGAGACACGGCCCAGACUCCUACGGGAGGCAGCAGUGGGGAAUUUUGGACAAUGGGGGCAACCCUGAUCCAGCAAUGCCGCGUGUGUGAAGAAGGCCUUCGGGUUGUAAAGCACUUUUGUCCGGAAAGAAAUCGCACUUACUAAUAUUAGGUGUGGAUGACGGUACCGGAAGAAUAAGGACCGGUCUAUACUACCGUGCCCAGCAGCCCGCGGUAAUACGUAGGGGUCCAAGCGUUAAUCGGAAUUACUGGGCGUAAAGCGUGCGCAGGCGGUUGUGCAAGACCGAUGUGAAAUCCCCCGGGCUUAACCUGGGAAUUGCAUUGGUGACUGCACGGGCUAGAGUGUGUCAGAGGGGGGUAGAAUUCCACGUGUAGCAGUGAAAUGCGUAGAGAUGUGGAGGAAUACCGAUGGCGAAGGCAGCCCCCUGGGAUAACACUGACGCUCAUGCACGAAAGCGUGGGGAGCAAACAGGAUUAGAUACCCUGGUAGUCCACGCCCUAAACGAUGUCAACUAGUUGUUGGGGAUUCAUUUCCUUAGUAACGUAGCUAACGCGUGAAGUUGACCGCCUGGGGGAGUACGGUCGCAAGAUUAAAACUCAAAGGAAUUGACGGGGACCCGCACAAGCGGUGGAUGAUGUGGAUUAAUUCGAUGCAACGCGAAAAAACCUUACCUACCCCUUGACAUGCCACUAACGGAAGCAGAGAUGCAUUACGGUGCUCGAAAGAGAAAAGUGGUACAGCAAGGCUGCUGCCAUCGGCUUGCUCGUUCAGCUUCGUCGUUCGUCGAGAUGUUGGGUUAAGUCCCGCAACGAGCGCAACCCUUGUCUCUAGUUGCUACGAAAGGGCACUCUAGAGAGACUGCCGGUGACAAACCGGAGGAAGGUGGGGAUGACGUCAAGUCCUCAUGGCCCUUAUGGGUAGGGCUUCACACGUCAUACAAUGGUGCAUACAGAGGGUUGCCAAGCCGCGAGGUGGAGCUAAUCCCAGAAAAUGCAUCGUAGUCCGGAUCGUAGUCUGCAACUCGACUACGUGAAGCUGGAAUCGCUAGUAAUCGCGGAUCAGCAUGCCGCGGUGAAUACGUUCCCGGGUCUUGUACACACCGCCCGUCACACCAUGGGAGUGGGUUUUGCCAGAAGUAGUUAGCCUAACCGUAAGGAGGGCGAUUACCACGGCAGG
rnacentral:rRNA from 1 species